rnacentral:lncRNA from 1 species
AUGUAAUAUGUAUAAAGAAGUAGGCCUUUAGCCAUGGUACAAUGUGAACAAUAUAAAUAUUACACUAGAACAAAAUGAUGGAAGAUAGAAGAAUAGAAAAGAAAUACUAGUUAGGGGGAAUGGAGAGACAAACUUCUUCUCCGUUCAGACUCUAAGUUCUCACUUACAGUGUCAUCGGAGAAAAAGACGAAACUAUUUACAGCUAGAUAAAAGGCUAUUCCAUUUUGCCCUUCUCUCUAGCCUUUUGCCCAUACAGUUGUGUGUUCCUUGAUGAAGGAGGAGGCUUUAUAUAGGUAACUUUUGGAUGAGAAACUUCCAUUGCUCUGAUUCUGCCAUGACGAAAGUAGCUUACGGUACGUCACAUCAAUUCAACUACCAUUCUUGUCUUCUAGUGAACCUUCCUCGUGUGAUAUCGUGGUUCCUUGCUUAGAAGUUGUACUUGCCAGAUGGGUUCUUCUCGCGUAACUACUUGGUCUUUUAGCUUUGUCUUCUUGCGAGCACUUCUGAGAUUCAUUGGCUUCUACUUUUGUUUUUUAUCCUACAUUUAGACAUUGCAAACCGCGUAAAAUGGGCAUAAUACUUAUGUAAAAUAUAUUUAUGAAUUUACAAUACAGGCCACAUGUUUUGACCUUUUUCCUAUGCCUUUUGGCCACGUUAUUGUAUAUAAGAGGUUAUAAUAAUGGGUAUGUUUACACGUUAUCAGGAGGCUAUUGAUGGCGAAGGAAGAAGGAAAUAAUCCUUGAGGUAGAUGGUGAAAAAAGCCUCCCCUUGCCGCCAAAACCAACUACAAAAGCUUCAACGCGAACAAAUAAGUUGAAUGAGUCAGUGAGGGAAGAUGAAGAAGAAGUUGAUGAGGAUUAUGUCUUUAAGUUUAUUUUUCAUUACGUAUAAGCCAGUGGGGAAAGGAUUUGAAGAUGUAAUUAAGUGCCAGAGUAAUCUACGAGAUGCACUUGCAGGGUAAAAAAACCACUAUGUGAAUUGGAACUCAAAUGCAACAACGCAAAUGCUAACAGUCAGGCACAAAUAGAUCAACUUAAGGGGGAAGUAAUUGAGAUCCAGACACAACUUCUAGCCAUCAGGGAACAGAAUAAAACAUUAACUGGUAUGAUUGAGCAACUCACUGAACGAAAUGACACUAAAUUUAGGGCUUUAAUAAGAUAUGAACACUUAUAUUGAUGUGCAACGCCACUCCUGUGUCGGAGGUUCCACCAGAUGUAAUUAGACCCCUUUAUGCGACAUGACUCUGCGGUUCGCGAUACAAGAAAUCUUCCUCCACGACUACUGCAACCUUAAAUUUUAGGGUGUUUCUAUUUUGUAUAUCUUCUUUUGUACUUUUUACUUUCUACUUAUGUAACUUGUAUUAUUUUGUAUUUAUGACACUUGCGAUACAAGUACAAUUUUGGACGUAAUUAUUGUGCAUUUAAUCUUUCUUGUCACAAUCUUGACUCUCUACGUUUUAGAACUUUAAUUUGUCUUUGUGUCUCAAUGAUAACUUCAGUGAAAUAAACCAUGUGAAAUAAAGUUUUUGUUAUCUAGGUGUUUAACUUGUAAGGAAACUUACUUUGGAAACGUUUCUAAAGUUUAUUAGGCAAGCAAGUUUGAUCUUAAACCACUUUUGUAGGAAUUUUCUACGAAUAAUCUUACCAUUCAUUUUUAGCAAUGGGGAUAUUGCUAUAUUCUAAAUUUGGGACUGUGCGAGAUCCAAACUAAACCUUUUGAAAAUUUUGAAAAUCUUGUAAGGUGUUUAAAUAAUAAGACGUUUUAACAUAAGUUGAAGCAAAGCCCAAAAGUGUAAAAUUUUCAAAAUUUCUUUACUCUUUUCUUUAAUUGAAAUAACAAGUCCAAUGUUGCCUCCUCUCAUAAAAAAUAAUUAAUAAGCAAAUUUUCAUAAGUAAAAAGUUUGAGAGUUGAGUAAUAAGACGCGAUAAGAGUUAUAGGUGAAGACAGGAACGAACUCAAAGAGUACCUAUGAUUUUCCACUCAAUGCAAAAUGCCAAAGUAAAUAAAAAGGCAUUCUUUGCCAAAAGGAUACAAAACGCUUCUAAAACUUUAGCCAUUUCAAAAAAUUGAAAAUAAGAUUUUUGUGGGGAAUGAACAAGGAUAUUUUGAGUAUUAACCUUGCCAUGUUUUGAACCUAGAAAUAUUUUCUUAGUGAGAAGUAUACGAUGAGAGAAGGCUCUAAAUAAUGAAUAAAACUAGCUCACAUUUUGAGAAGUCUAGAAACACAAGGAGGAAUGUGAGUCUUUGAGGUGGAAUUAUGCCUGGGGACAAGCAGUAAUAGGGAGUGAUGUUUGAGGACAAUAAUUUUCCUAAAUUUUUGGGUAUGAUAACUUGUAGAAAUACAAGUUAUUAUAGCCUUUUAAAUAGAAUAAUGAGACCAAAAUGCGUAGUAAAUAUAUCAAAACGUGUACCUUCUUUUGUAAAUUCAUAAAUAUUUGAAAAUGAACGUUACAUAAGUCUCCACGCUUCUUUGACUCUGUUUUUAGUGUCUUAACGUAGGAAUAGGAAUAAAAGAAGAAACUAGUGAAUCACAAAGGAACUCGCACAAAGGCUACGUGAGAAGAACUCGUCUGGCAAGUACACUUUCUAGGCGAGGAUCUACGUCAUCACGCGAGAAAGGUUCAGUAGAAGAUAAGAAUGGUAGUUGGAGUUGAUGUGACUUGACAAAGCUGCAUUCGACGCUGACAUGUUCAAAAGAAUAGAAGUUUUCUAUCGAAAGUUGCCUAUAAAAGGACUCAAUCCCUACUAGGAAAAGUGGUGCCUAAAUUGACCAAUCCAUAGAGAGUGGUGGAAAGGAGUAGCCUUUCUACCGUCUGUAAAAGUAGUUCAUCUUCUUCUCUGGUCAGUUUUUAAGUGAAAGCUUAGCGUCUAAGUAGAGAAGAUUCCAUCUUCCCUUUCCCUAACUUGUAAAGUCAUUUCCCUCUACUUUCCAUUUUCACAUUUCUCUAUAAUAUAUGUCGUUAAUAACUGGCUUAAGGCCUACAUUAUUUAAUACAUUACAUGAUUAUAUCUUUUCAAUCCAACAUUCCUUUACUAUUCAUCUGUCUGUGUGUUAUUCGAAGUUUAUGUUUGUGAUAAGUUCUUGGUAAAAAGCUUAGCUUAUAAAUCUUAUCACGUUAGUUAAGCUAUAAUCAUCACUUGGCCAGUGUAUAUCACCAACUACUCGAGAGAACUUAACAAGUAGCAAGGAUAUGGCUAACGCAUGCAGAGAGGAGUUUGGAGAUAAACUCCAUCUUGACGAGAUAACUUUCUUCACUUGUAUCUUGAAAGGAGAACAAGUGUGAGCAUUUGGUGUCGAGAGAUUGUCACCCUUAACAGAGAAGUUCUAUAAGUCUUGAAAGUAAACCCUUUUAGAUAGAUCUCGCUUGACCCAACUUAAUCAAUGAGCAGUGAGCAUUGAUUCAUGUUUCUUGGCCAAUACUUGAGAUAAGCUUGCCAAGAUGUAUGCUUGGGCUUUUUCAUUUGCCUUGACUCAGUGCUCAUGUGCUUUUCAAACAAUUCGAGUUGCAUUAGUAGCUGGGACUUGAGGACACUCCUCAACUAGGACAAAUCGCAGGUCAUCGAUAAUUAGCAUAGUGUUGAUAGUAUUUUUUCAAGAUGCAUAAUUAUUGCCAUUAGGCUUAUCAGCAGCCAACAUAUUCAAAGUAACACUUGUCAUUAUCAAAUUGCUGAAACAUACAAUUUAUUUAUACUAGAUAUACAAGCACUUUUCAUACAGAAAACCAAUCAAUUUAGCAAAAAUUUAAUAUAUCCUAAGUGAUAUCUAUCUUUGCAAUGAUGCUUUAGUGAGGUAGGAUAAAAACCUUUGUAGGGUGAUUAAUUGUCCCUUCACUGAAUUGAGACAAUCUCCACUAAAUAUUACACCAGAAUAACUCUUAUUCCUAUAAUAAUUAGUCAUCAUUGUUUAGUCAAGAAACGUUAACUUAAAAAUUUCUUGUAAGUGUAACCCUUCAUUUUAGAUUCUAAAGUUCCGCCCCAAUAAGUAAUUCGUAGGAAAAAGACGAUUGGAGCAAAAACUAAAGAAAUCCUAUUCAUUUAUGGAGUUUGAGUAAAAUCUCAUGCAAACACCUUCCGUAGGGGGACACAAGCAAGGGUGCCUAGAGGCCGACUUACUAUAAACACUAUCUCCAUUCACCUUGUUAUUGACUUAAGCAAACACCACCUGUAGGGAGACACAAUCAAAGAUGCCUCGAGGCCGAGCAUAAGUCUCACGCUGUGAAUAUUUAAGGAGAAACGUGAAAAGAAGAAUGAAGUAUCAUAUACCCCAUUUUAUCCCACUUAGUGUUUUACUUAAAAAUUAAUUAACUUAUAAAAUAAACGGCUAAUUAUUUAUCUAAGUUCAUUGUUAAAUUGGCUCAAUAUAACUCUUAUAUUAGAUAGCUUAACAAUAUAUGGUUAUUGUUUAUCAAACACUUUGAUAAAUAUAAUCAUGUAUUGCAUGCUUAUAAAAUAUUUGACUAAUUCAUCUUUCAAGUCAGUUCCCAAGUAGGGGUAUUCUAUUACCGUCACCUUAAGUACCCUAGCCUAGACAGAACCUUCCUUAGACAAAGGUCUCUUAUAGACAAAUAUUUUAUUGAUAUCAUUUUAAUCCUAUUAAAACAAUAAAAGAUUAUUCUUAUUUCUAAUUUAAUUAGAAAUUUUAUCCAUUAAGGUCUAGGUGAAUUAAUUUUAAACCAUUUAAAACUAAUUGUGACCUUAUGUUAGCAUGCAACUCUUUAAUAUAGAUUUUAAUUAUAAAUUCAUAAACUUAUAACACUUAUAAGAAAAGGAAACAAUUAAAACCUAUAAAUAUGCAUUUCUAAUGUCAUAUAAUAAAGAUAACAAUUAUAUUCAUUAAGUAAUGACAUGCUCAAUGCAUUCCCAAUUUCAUCACACAAUAUAACAAUUUUAUUAAUGCAAUGAAAAUAAAAACAUCUAUCAAUCAAACUAUAUAAUACAACAAUUUAAAGAGUAGUAUGAUGCAUGAAAAUAUUAAUGAUACAUGCUAUCAUAUAAUAUAACAAUUAUAUUAAAUAUGAUGCAUGAGCAUGCUUAGAAAAUCAUGCAACUAAAAUAAAACACUUAUAUUUAAGAAUGAUGCAUGAUAAAUAUAAUCUUGAGGUAGGAUUUUAAACUAUAUGACAUAUAUUAUGCAUACAAUUAAUCUAAUAAAAAAUGGAAUAAUAGACUAAAUAACAAAAUAGACCGUAUUUGACACCCUUAAAAAAAGGGUAAACUACAACUUUUAAAUCUUAAACUCAUGACCUUCUAUAGCUACGGAUGAUGAAACAACUAUUGAACCAAAAACUCAUGGAUGGUAUCUUCAAUUCGCGCAAAAAAAUAUAUAUUUGUUUUGAUUUUCCAUUUUUUUUAAACAAACGUUGCUUCAAUUGCAACUCUAUACAAAAUAGAGAUCUGGAAAAAAAAAGUCCGAAAAAUGCAUCUUCACAUCAACCAUCGAAUGACACAAAUUUACAAACUCGACUGCAAAAUUGAAAUGCUCAAACACCAAACCUUUACAUUAAUCAAAUUAAUGAAAAAAAUGCAAUCUAAAGUGCCAAAAUUGAAAACAUCUAUUUUGCAAACCCACAUUCAUAAUGCAGAGAAAAAAAAAUACCCAUCUUUUCUCUUAAUUUUGUUUCAAAAAAUUGAAAAAAAUUGCAUGAUUUGGCUAUGAUAUUAAUUAAAAGAAUGGAAUUCCCAUAGCGGAAGCGUGUGAACGUCGUGCAAAAAAAAAAAAAUCAACUUGAAACACAUACAAACUUCAGAGAAAACACCUAAACAUACUUCUAUGGAGGAAAAGAAGAAAAAAAAACUAACCUUUGUAUAACCUCCCAAGAAUUCUUGAACCUUCCAAAGAACACCACGAGGAGAACACCACUAAGU